AUGCUGGAGAUAUCAGAAGUGCGAAUGCUGACGUAAGUAACGAUAAAGGGGGUGAAAAGCCUCCUCGCCGGAAGACCAAGGGUUCCUGUCCAACGUUAAUCGGGGCAGGGUGAGUCGACCCCUAAGGUGAGGCCGAAAGGCGUAAUCGAUGGGAAGCAGGUUAAUAUUCCUGCACGACUUGUAAUUGCGAUGGGGGGACGGAGAAGGCUAGGUGGGCCAGGCGACGGUUGUCCUGGUGAAAGUGCGUAGGUGGUGUUUCUAGGCAAAUCCGGAGACACAACACUGAGACACGAGACGAACGCACUACGGUGCGGAAGCCAUUGAUGCCCUGCUUCCAGGAAAAGCCUCUAAGCUUCAGAUUACAAGUCAUCGUACCCCAAACCGACACAGGUGGUCGGGUAGAGAAUACCAAGGCGCUUGAGAGAACUCGGGUGAAGGAACUAGGCAAAAUAGAACCGUAACUUCGGGAGAAGGUUCGCUCUUGAUGGUGAAGUCCCUUGCGGAUGGAGCUGUCGGGAGUCGCAGUGACCAGAUGGCUGGGACUGUUUAUCAAAAACACAGCACUCUGCAAACACGAAAGUGGACGUAUAGGGUGUGACACCUGCCCGGUGCCGGAAGGUUAAUUGAUGGGGUUAGCGCAAGCGAAGCUCUUGAUCGAAGCCCCGGUAAACGGCGGCCGUAACUAUAACGGUCCUAAGGUAGCGAAAUUCCUUGUCGGGUAAGUUCCGACCUGCACGAAUGGUGUAACCAUGGCCAUGCUGUCUCCACCCGAGACUCAGUGAAAUCGAAUUCGCCGUGAAGAUGCGGUGUACCCGCGGCUAGACGGAAAGACCCCGUGAACCUUUACUACAGCUUGGCACUGAACAUUGAACCUACAUGUGUAGGAUAGGUGGGAGGCUUUGAAGGCGUGACGCCAGUUGCGCUGGAGCCGUCCUUGAAAUACCACCCUUGUAUGUUUGAUGUUCUAACGCAGGGCCCUGAAUCGGGCUCGCGGACAGUGCCUGGUGGGUAGUUUGACUGGGGCGGUCUCCUCCCAAAGAGUAACGGAGGAGCACGAAGGUUGGCUAAUCCUGGUCGGACAUCAGGAGGUUAGUGCAAUGGCAUAAGCCAGCUUAACUGCGAGACGGACAGGUCGAGCAGGUACGAAAGUAGGUCAUAGUGAUCCGGUGGUUCUGAAUGGAAGGGCCAUCGCUCAACGGAUAAAAGGUACUCCGGGGAUAACAGGCUGAUACCGCCCAAGAGUUCAUAUCGACGGCGGUGUUUGGCACCUCGAUGUCGGCUCAUCACAUCCUGGGGCUGAAGUCGGUCCCAAGGGUAUGGCUGUUCGCCAUUUAAAGUGGUACGCGAGCUGGGUUCAGAACGUCGUGAGACAGUUCGGUCCCUAUCUGCCGUGGGCGUUGGAUGAUUGAAGGGAGUUGCUCCUAGUACGAGAGGACCGGAGUGAACGAACCUCUGGUGUUCGGGUUGUCACGCCAGUGGCACUGCCCGGUAGCUAAGUUCGGAAUCGAUAACCGCUGAAAGCAUCUAAGCGGGAAGCGAGCCCUGAGAUGAGUCAUCCCUGACCCCUUGAGGGUCCUAAAGGGCCGUUGGAGACCACAACGUUGAUAGGUGGGGUGUGUAAGCGUAGCGAUACGUUGAGCUAACCCAUACUAAUUACCCGUGAGGCUUAACCAUACAACACCCAAGAAGUGUU
rnacentral:rRNA from 1 species